UACGGAAGGCGGCAGUGGGGAAUAUUGCACAAUGGGCGCAAGCCUGAUGCAGCCAUGCCGCGUGUAUGAAAAAGGCCUUCGGGUUGUAAAGUACUUUCAGUCGUGAGGAAGGUGUUAAGGUUAAUAACCUUAGCAAUUGACGUUAGCGACAGAAGAAGCACCGGCUAACUCCGUGCCAGCAGCCGCGGUAAUACGGAGGGUGCGAGCGUUAAUCGGAAUUACUGGGCGUAAAGGGCACGCAGGCGGUUAAUUAAGUUGGAUGUGAAAUCCCCGGGCUUAACCUGGGAAUGGCAUUCAAGACUGGUUAGCUAGAGUCUUGUAGAGGGGGUAGAAUUCCAUGUGUAGCGGUGAAAUGCGUAGAGAUGUGGAGGAAUACCGGUGGCGAAGGCGGCCCCUGGACAAAGACUGACGCUCAUGUGCGAAAGCGUGGGGAGCAAACAGGGAUUAGAUACC
rnacentral:rRNA from 1 species